rnacentral:rRNA from 1 species
GAUGAACGCUGGCGGCGUGCCUAAUACAUGCAAGUCGAGCGAACGGACGAGAAGCUUGCUUCUCUGAUGUUAGCGGCGGACGUGUGAGUAACACGUGGAUAACCUACCUAUAAGUCUGGGAUAACUUCGGGAAACCGGAGCUAAUACCGGAUAAUAUUUUGAACCGCAUGGUUCAAAAGUGAAAGACGGUCUUGCUGUCACUUAUAGAUGGAUCCGCUCUGCAUUAGCUAGUUGGUAAGGUAACGGCUUACCAAGGCAACGAUGCAUAGCCGACCUGAGAGGGUGAUCGGACAAACUGGAACGGAGACACGGAACAGACGCCUACGGGAGGCAGCAGUAGGGAAUCUGACGCAAUGGGCGAAAGCAUGACGGAGCAACGCCGCGUGAGAGAUGAAGGUCUUCGGAUCGUAAAACUCUGUUAUUAGGGAAGAAAAUAUGUGUAAGUAACUGUGCACAUCAUGACGGUACCUAAUCAGAAAGCAACGGCUAACUACGUG